rnacentral:rRNA from 1 species
AUUGAACGCUGGCGGCAUGCCUUACACAUGCAAGUCGAACGGUAACAGGUUAAGCUGACGAGUGGCGAACGGGUGAGUAAUGUAUCGGAACGUGCCCUGUCGUGGGGGAUAACUGCUCGAAAGAGCAGCUAAUACCGCAUACGACCUGAGGGGGAAAGCGGGGGCUCGCAAGACCUCGCGCGAUUGGAGCGGCCGAUAUCAGACUAGGUAGUUGGUGAGGUAAAGGCUCACCAGGCCGACGAGCUGUAGCUGGUCUGUGAGGACGACCAGCCACACUGGGACUGAGACACGGCCCAGACUCCUGCGGGAGGCAGCAGUGGGGAAUUUUGGACAAUGGGCGCAAGCCUGAUCCAGCCAUGCCGCGUGCGGGAAGAAGGCCUUCGGGUUGUAAACCGCUUUUGUCAGGUAAGAAAAGGUUCUGGCUAAUACCUGGGACUCAUGACGGUACCUGAAGAAUAAGCACCGGCUAACUACGUG